ensembl:lncRNA
UGCAACACAAGACCUCUUUAAAUAUGACUGAAGUACCUACUGUGUUAUUUUUUUUUCUCAUUAGUGAAAGAUCUGACUCGCAUGUAUCCAGCUUUGUAUCUAUGAAGACUGACCAUUCAAAGGGAGAUGGACCAAACGUCAAUGAGAAAACACCAUCACCUUUCAAAAGUAACAAAGGACACAAGUCCACAGUAAAUAUUGGUGCAGAAAUUACACGGUGGGAAGCUCUAAAAGCACAGAAGGGAUUGAAGGAUGAUGUGGAACUGGCAACUUUUCUUCUCAACAGGGUUCAGUUUGAGAAAUCAGAAUCAAACUACAAGAAUUACAGCAACCGCAAGA